rnacentral:ribozyme from 16 species
UUUUUUUUUUUUUUUUUUUUUUAACUUCAAAAGGAGAGAUUAAAGAAAUUAACAUACAUUGUA